GUCCACGCUGUAAACGUUGGGUGCUAGGUGUCGCGGGUAUUGACCCCUGCGGUGCCGACGCUAACGCAUUUAGCACCCCGCCUGGGGAGUACGGUCGCAAGGCUAAAACUCAAAGGAAUUGACGGGGGCCCGGCACAAGCGGUGGAGCAUGUGGUUUAAUUCGAAGCAACGCGCAGAACCUUACCUGGACUUGACAUCUGGGGAACCGUCCUGGAAACAGGAGGGUGCCUUCGGGAGCCCCAACGACAGGUGAUGCAUGGCUGUCGU
rnacentral:rRNA from 1 species